AUGAUGGACUAUAGGACAGGACUGCUGCUUUUUACUGUCUGCUGGGCAGGUGUUGAUGGUCAGACUCUGACAGAAUCUGAAGCAGUGGUUAAAAGGCCUGGAGAAUCCCACAGACUGACCUGUUCAGCCUCUGGAUUCACAUUCAGCAGCUACUGGAUGGCUUGGGUCAGACAGGCUCCUGGAAAAGGACUGGAGUUUAUCGGUACUAUCGAAUAUGACAGUGAUAGCAUCUACUACUCUAAUUCAGUCAAAAGCCGGUUCACCAUCUCCAGAGACAACAGCAGACAGCAGGUGUAUCUGCAGAUGAACAGUCUGAAGACUGAAGAUUCUGCUGUUUAUUAUUGUGAUGCCGAAAAAGGAAACACAAAUUGUGCAGACAUCUAUCAAGGAUUCAUCCAGAAAAGUAACUCAGUUAACGAGGUCAUGACUCUGACGUGA